CAAGACUUUGGUUCUGCUGGUCCUUGUGAGAAAGGAGGUUCUGAUGUGGCCAGCCCCUGCUAAGGUUCACCUACCUCUUAUGCAUUACUUGUGACAGAACGAAGUUUUUGAAGACCUUUCAUUUUCCUGACUCCUGUCCCAGAAGCAGAAACUCAGGAUGAGUUUCUUUUUUUCCCAUCUCUGCUCACGUCCAUGCUGCUUCUUCCCCCUCUCUUCUGGCUGUUCAGCUGCCAAAUCUUCACUCGUAUUUCCGUGCUGAGCUCCUUGCCUCCGAUCCACAAGGCCCACAAGCAAGCUGACUUUUAGUGCUUCCUCUGCAAGUGUCCCACAGAAGCCAGUGCUGCCUGCUGGCUUCGAGCAGCACCUUGUCACCACAGCAGAGAGCCUGGACCUCCCCGGGGAAA